GACGAACGCUGGCGGCGUGCUUAACACAUGCAAGUCGAACGGAAAGGCCCUGCUUUUGUGGGGUGCUCGAGUGGCGAACGGGUGAGUAACCCGUGAGUAACCUGCCCUUGACUUUGGGAUAACUUCAGGAAACUGGGGCUAAUACCGGAUAGGAGCUCCUGCUGCAUGGUGGGGGUUGGAAAGUUUCGGCGGUUGGGGAUGGACUCGCGGCUUAUCAGCUUGUUGGUGGGGUAGUGGCUUACCAAGGCUUUGACGGGUAGCCGGCCUGAGAGGGUGACCGGCCACAUUGGGACUGAGAUACGGCCCAGACUCCUACGGGAGGCAGCAGUGGAGAAUAUUGCACAAUGGGCGGAAGCCUGAUGCAGCAACGCCGCGUGCGGGAUGACGGCCUUCGGGUUGUAAACCGCUUUCGCCUGUGACGAAGCGUGAGUGACAGUAAUGGGUAAAGAAGCACCGGCUAACUACGUG
rnacentral:rRNA from 1 species